CGAGUGAUUCUCGCCCUCGUAAGGCUUAGAGCUGCGGCUAAGUAGGCGGGGCCCAUGUGCUUUCAGAGGCAAAGAAGGAAAGAGAGAGAGAGAGAGGGAGCACAGCUCAACCCAUUAUAAUAUAUUUUACGCUUGCAAUCA
ensembl:ncRNA M03F4.9 ncRNA